rnacentral:rRNA from 1 species
GACGAACGCUGGCGGCGUGCUUAACACAUGCAAGUCGAACGAAGUGGCGAACGGGUGAGUAACGCGUAAUCAACCUGCCCUUCAGAGGGGGACAACAGUUGGAAACGACUGCUAAUACCGCAUACUGAAGGAGGGGAUUGCGUCUGAUUAGCUAGUUGGAGGGGUAACGGCCCACCAAGGCGAUGAUCAGUAGCCGGUCUGAGGGGAUGAACGGCCAAAAUGGGACUGAGAACAGGCCCAGACUCCUACGGGAGGCAGCAGUGGGGAAUCUUUCGCCAUGGACGAAAGUCUGACGGAGCAACGCCGGGUGAGUGAUGACGGCCUUCGGGGUGUAAAGCUCUGUUAAUCGGGACGCGGUACCGGAAUAGAAAGCCACGGCUAACUACGUGCCAGCAGCCGCGGUAAUUC